GCCCUCCGUGGUGCUGGUGGGAGCGGCCCCCUCCCCUCCGCUGAGAGGCCGCCUGGGAGGGAUCGGGGCCACGGCUGGUACCGGGCAGUUCAGUGGUCAGCAGCGACGAGAAGAAGCCAGGAGAGUGGGAGGGGCAGCCGGUGGCAGGGCCCAGAAUCGAUGGGCCGAGGCAGCCGGAAGGUCCUGCGAAUCUGGUUCAGCAAGAUGUCGGUGAAGGAGGGCGCGCAGCGCAAGUGGGCAGCGCUGAAGGAGAAGCUGGGGCCUCAGGACUCGGACCCCACGGAGGCCAACCUGGAGAGCGCUGAGCCCGAGCUGUGCAUCCGGCUCCUGCAGAUGCCCUCCGUGGUCAACUACUCGGGGCUGCGCAAGCGGCUGGAGGGCAGCGACGGUGGCUGGAUGGUGCAGUUCCUGGAGCAGAGCGGCCUGGACCUCCUGCUCGAGGCCCUGGCGCGCCUGUCGGGCCGCGGCGUGGCCCGCAUCUCCGACGCCCUGCUGCAGCUCACCUGCGUCAGCUGCGUGCGCGCCGUCAUGAACUCGCAGGAGGGCAUCCAGUACAUCCUCAGCAACCAGGCCUACGUGCGCCAGCUCUCCCGGGCCCUGGACACAUCCAACGUGAUGGUCAAGAAGCAGGUGCUGGAGCUGCUAGCGGCCCUGUGCGUCUACUCACCCGAGGGCCACGCCCUGACCCUGGACGCCCUGGACCAUUACAAGACGGUGUGCAGCCAGCAGUACCGCUUCAGCGUCAUCAUGAACGAGCUCUCGGACAGUGACAACGUGCCCUACGUGGCCACCCUGCUCAGCGUGGUCAACGCCAUCAUCCUGGGCCCCGAGGACGUCCGUGCCCGCGCCCAGCUGCGCGGCGAGUUCAUCGGGCUGCAGCUGCUGGACGUUCUGGUGCGGCUGCGAGACCUGGAGGACGAGGACCUGCUGAUCCAGCUGGAGGCCUUCCGGGAGGCCAAGGCCGAGGACGAGGAGGAGCUGCUGCGGGCCUUCGGGGGCAUUGACCUCAGCAGCCACCAGGAGGUCUUCUCCUCCCUCUUCCACAAGGUGAGCUGCUCCCCGGUGUCUGCCCACCUGCUGUCUGUGCUGCAGGGCCUCCUGCAUCUGGACCCCACCCUCCGCUCCAGCCAGCUGCUCUGGGAGGCCCUGGAGAGCCUGGUGAACCGGGCCGUGCUCCUGGCCAGUGACACCCAGGAGUGCACCCUGGAGGAGAUGGUCGAGCGGCUCCUGUCCAUCAAGGGGCGGCCCCGCCCGCACUACCUGGACAAGGCCCACAAGGGCGUCCAGGUCAACCUCGGCCAGAGUCGAAGGGGCAGCUCCCCCCAAAACACCGGUGCCCCGACGGUGGGGGUCGGGGGCCAGCAGCCAGCGGCAGCCCUCGCUGGCCUGCACGUUGCCGGCGUCCAGGGCGACAGUGGCAGGAUGGCGCCGCAGCCCACAGCCCCGGAGCAGCUGGAGCCCACCCCGCCCCCAGCUGCCCCCCCACUCCCUGGCACCGCAACCUGGCCCCCGCCCCCGCCCCCGCCCCCCCCACCUCCUCCACCCCCGCCGCUGCCAAGCCUGGGGGCCGCGUUCCCCUCACCCCCACCUCCCCCACUGCCUGGCCCUAGUGGGACCAUACCCCUCCCGCCUCCACUCCCAGGGCUGGGGUGCCCGCCCCCGCCCCCGCCCCCACCCCUGCUGGGUACCUCCGGGCCCCCUGCAGCGGGCGGCGCGGAGGAGAUCAUCGUGGGCCACAGCCUGGGCUCCGCCUGGGUCCCCAGCCACCGGCGGGUGCACCCCCCCACCCUGCGCAUGAAGAAGCUGAAUUGGCAGAAGCUGCCGUCCAGCGUGGCCCGAGAGCGCAGCUCCAUGUGGGCGUCGCUGAGCAGCCCCGACGCUGAGGUCGUGGAGCCUGACUUCUCCAGCAUCGAGCGGCUCUUCUCCUUCCCUGUGGCCAAGCCCAAGGAACAAGCAGCGGCCCCAGCCAGGAAGGAGCCCAAGGAGAUCACUUUUCUGGACUCCAAGAAGAGCCUGAACCUCAACAUCUUCCUGAAGCAGUUUAAAUGCUCCAACGAGGAGGUCACCGCUAUGAUCCGGGCUGGGGACACCACCAAGUUUGACGUGGAGGUCCUCAAGCAGCUCCGCAAGCUCCUUCCCGAGAAGCACGAGAUUGAAAACCUGCGCUCCUUCACAGAGGAUCGGGCCAGGCUGGCCAGCGCUGACCAGUUCUACCUACUCCUGCUGGAUAUCCCCUGCUACCAGCUCCGGGUCGAGUGCAUGCUGCUGUGCGAGGGUACGGCCGUUGUGCUGGACGUGGUGCGGCCCGAGGCCCAGCUGCUGCUUGCUGCCUGCGAGGGCCUGCUCGCCAGCCACCGGCUGCCCGUCUUCUGCCUGCUGAUCCUGAAAAUCGGGAACUUCCUCAACUACGGCAGCCACACCGGGGACGCCGACGGCUUCAAGAUGAGCACGCUGCUGAAGCUGACGGAGACCAAGGCCCAGCAGAGCCGCGUCACGCUGCUGCACCACGUGCUGGAGGAGGUGGAGGAGAGCCAGCCGGACCUCCUGCAGCUGCCCCAGGACCUGGAGCUGCCCUCCCAAGCGGCAGGGAUAAACCUCGACAUCAUCCACUCAGAGUGCAGCACUAACCUGAAGAAGCUUCUGGAGAUGGAGCGGAAGGUGUCUUCCUCCAUCCCAGAGGUGCGGGAGCAGUACUCCCAACGCCUCCAGGCCAGCAUCACGGCCUCCCAGGAGGUGGAGGAGGUGUUCCAGGCCAUCAAGCAGAAGCGGCUGGAGCUGGCCACCUACCUGUGUGAGGACGGCCAGCAACUGUCCCUGGAGGACACGCUCAGCACCAUGAAGGCCUUCCGGGCCCUCUUCAUCCGCGCCCUGAAGGAGAACAAGGACCGGAAAGAGCAGGCGGCCAAGGCUGAGAGGAGAAAGCAGCAGCUGGCGGAGGAGGAGGAGGCCCGGAGGCUGCGGGGCGAGGACGGGGAGCCUGUCAGGAAGGGAGGCGGGAAGCAGGAGGAGGUGUGUGUCAUCGAUGCCUUGCUGGCUGACAUCAGGAAGGGCUUCCAGCUGCGCAAGACGGCCCGUGGCCGAGGGGACACGGCUGCAGACCCCCCGAGGAACAAGGCACCUGCGGCCACCAGGGACCCUGUGGGAGGCACCAGCCUCCCCACGUCUGAGCCUGGUCUCGACGCUGCAGCGGCCAAGGAGCCCCGCGGCUGGGGUCUCGCGGAUGCCGCCCUCAGCAGCCCCCAACCCACUGGAGACUCAUCAGAGAAGGGUGGUCCUGGGUCCCUGGAGAGGCGUUCUUCCUGGUACAUGGAUGCCAGUGAUUUCCUGGCCACCGAGGGCCCCCUGGGCCCCCAGCCCUCUGCAGGGGCCUGGCCAUUGGUGCUGGGAGACAGUCAGGCCCUGAAGCCCCUCAACUUCUCCAGUGACAAGCCCUCCAAAGCAACGGGUUUGAGCCAAGACAGCGAGGAGCCCACGGCCCCUCCGGGCGCCCGCCAGGCCGAGGCUGACACCACAUGCGAGGGCGCGGAGGACGCAGCUGCCCGCAGCCGCGGCGCUGGCCUCCCUGCUGCAGGCCGUGGCGGGGACGGGGACGAAGAUGAGGAGCACACAGCCCCAGACUCCGCUCUGGACACCUCCCUGGACAGGUCCUUCUCCGAGGAUGCCGUGACUGACUCAUCAGGGUCCGGCACCCUCCCCAGGGCCCAGGGCCGGACGUCAAAGGGCACAGGCAGACGAAGGAAGAAGCGCCCCUCCUCCAGGAGCCAGGAAGAGGUUGCCCUUGACCCUGACGGUAGUAAAACAAAAAGACUCUGUGUGAUCCAGUAAGCCCCGGCCGGGGUGACCCCUGGUCCCAGUCUACCUGUCGUAGCCGUUGGCUCUGCUUUUCUGGAAACAAAGUCCUGCCCAGGACCACACGUCCAGCCCCUUUUGUCUUGCAUAACACCGAAGACACGACGUCACUUUGGAGGUGUCCCGUGUGUCCCCCACCUGGGUCCAGCUUGCGCUUAGGGCAGGAAUCCUACGCCCGUGACGCCUCAGGCCCCGGGCCAGAGCCAAGUGAGGGAGGACCCACAGCAGGACCGCUGGACGUGCUGCCGAGCGGGGCUCUUCCGGGGCCAGGCUGGGACCGGCCCCCGGGAAACCAAAACUCUGUGCCUUACCCAGCCAGUGCCGCGGUCUCCCGGAGCCCUGGCAGGGGCUUGCGGCUGGGACCCCAACGGGCACCGGGGCCCGGCCCGCCUAGCGCCUCCCUGGCCUGCCUGAAUGCCCCCGGCCCCUCGCGGUAUGCUUUCCCAACGCCGAUGCCCAGCCCUGACCCCACACCGCAUGCACCAGGCGGCUGCGGGCCCGGGCACCACUGAGCUUGUGACCCGGCACCCAGCUGCUUCUGGGCACAGGCCCUCACAGACCCCCUGCCCCUGAAGCUGCCGUUAGCCGGGGGGGCGGGGGGCGGCUGGAGCCCCGGCGCCACAGCUCGUCCCCCCAGCCCACUCAGGUGGUCUGAAGCAGUCGUGUUUAACUGAAACGGGAUUGCUGAGCGUUUCUCCAGUUCUGUGGUGGCCCAGUCGGGGAUAGGUAGGUGGGUGAGAGGACCCCAGGGCCUUCGGGUAGAGGCGGGCUGUCUGACAGUGCGUGGGAGGGCCAGCGUUCCUCUACUCAGAAUGGGGGGGACCCCAUGGAGUUGACACCCAUCCUAGCAUCUCCAGCCCUGAGGUGGGGAGGGGGUCUGCCCUGGCGGCCACAGCCAGGACCUGGUCCCCUCAUCGACAACACAGCCCGCCCUGCGAGCUGCUGCUGCCACCUCCAGACCCGGCUGGGCUGAGGGGAGGCCGGGAUCCAGGCCUAGGGGACCGGACGGAUCUAGCCAGAGGGGCUGCCGCCUCUCGUCCCUGACCCCGUGGGCCCCCUGCCUGCACUGCGCCCUCGCCCACCCCCCUGCUGUGUGCUGCUGAGACUGGAGGAACUUUGGCCAAUAAAGAGCAAAGCU